CUACCCACUACCCAGGCAAUCUUUAAAAUACCGAAACUGGGAAGUUCCAUUUGAACUUGCUAUUAGAAGGAUGAAGAUUGAAAUCUGCAUUGGUGGUGGCAGUAUAGCAGACACUCUUUCUCAUGCUAUUCAUUUGGUGAUUGUGUCUAUUCCAGAACUUGGUUACGACUUUGAUACACUUUUGAAUAGGACGCUGCUGCUGUGAGGGGGUAAUCCGGAUCUGAAGUGAAGGCUUCAGAAUCGCAGAAAAGCUGGCGGCUACAAUGGCUUGGAGGGUCGCUGCUCCUAAUGGUAGCAUUCCCUCUAAUGACAUGGAGAGAAAUGGGGAAGGUAGACCUCAUGACUCAGAACCUCCUACCCCCCAUGCACUCAUGAAAAUGGGUUCAAGGUUGACAGCAUACUUGGCGCCCGUGGCGAUGCUUUUGAGCAUGAGGCAACUAGAAGAAUGCAUAAUGAAUUUAUGGUAGCUUGGGAUGGCUUGAGGUCAAAAGACAACCGGAGAAUCAUAGCAGGUUGAUUAACUAGUUCUUGAGGACUUGGUGCUAGAAACAUUGUAUGAUAGAUUUUUGUUUUAGCUAUAAGGUAGUUGGUAUUUUCAAUUUUGAA